rnacentral:lncRNA from 1 species
AUGUACCCUCAGACGUUUCCACCCAAAAUAAAGUUUUUUACAUGCAGAGUAGUAAGUUUUUAUGCCCCGGGGAGGACUCAGAGACUUCGGUCGGGGCUGCCUGACUCUCCCCCAGCCGCGACGGCGGGAGGACUUCGCCCUCCUCCCGCCGCCGGCCCACCAGCUCCGCCGCGCUGCCCCUGGCGCCCUUCCCCGCUCCCCGCCAUCUCCAUUUCCCGCUCCCGGGACCUGAACCCGGAGGCUCCGAAGCCACUCGGGAGUCGGGGCGCCCCAGCCCGCCCCUCCGUCCGCGGGGUCGCCGCCGCCACGGGCCCUCCCGCCGGCGGGCGGGCGGGCGGCGCAGCCAAGGCCGUCGGGCCGGCGAGGCCGCUCCUCCCCGCAGGCCCCGGUUCUCCCCCCCGCCACCCCGCCCGCUUCCCCCCCUCUCCUCCUCCUCCUCCUCCCCGCGGCGCCUCGUCGUUGUUUGAACCCGAAACGGAAAUGAGACUCGCGGCGCCGGGGAGAAACGGAAACAAAACACGGGCCGCCAGGCCGCGCCGCGCUCGCUCGCUCGCUCACCCGCCGCCGCCGUCCGCCGCCGCGCCGGCCCCUAAGCGGAGCGGCCGCACAAUCGCCUCCCCGCCAGCCGCGGCCCUCGCAGCCCCAGCGGGUCCCGGCCGCGGUCCCGGUCCCGCCGCCACCGCCCUGAGGAGACCGUCGCGCGCCGGGGAUUGGGCAGCGCGGCCCAGCGCGGGCCCGGGCGGGAAGGGCGCGCCCAGACCGCCACCCCCCGCGCGGGGGCGGGAACUACAGCUCCCAGCCACCACCGGGGCCCGGCGCUGCGGCGGCACCGGGCGGUGCGGGGGGGGGAGGUGUGGGGGUGUGUGUGUGUGUGCGCGCUCCGGCAGCUUCCCGGCGUGCACCGCGCGGGGAGGCGGAGCGGAGCGGGGUCGUGGCGGCGGCGGUGACUCUCCCAAGGUGACUGGGGCUGGGCCCGGCGGCCCCGUGGCUGCCCUUUGCCUGCCUCCUGAGGUGCCGAGGGUGGGCUCGUCCUCCGUCGGUGUGGGCUUAGGGUACCCGGGCUCCGGGGCGAACGGCGCCGCCCGGCCCUGCCGCCUGCGGGUGGUGCCCGGCCGGGUGAGAGGGAGAAUGGGGGUCGGCGGGGCCAGUGGUGCUGCUGCUGCUGCGGCUGGCUUUGGCUGGGUUAAAACUGUCGCUUUUUCUUCAAACAAGUCAAAACUUGAAAGGGCGGGUUGGUCUCGGCGGCGGUGGUGCGAGCGAACGGGAGGGAGGUGUACCGGGGCACUGGGUGGCACGGUGUCUCUGGGCUCAGGGGCUGGGGUUUCACCCCAAAUUGCCCGCAGGUUUCAGUAUUCUUUCGGGUUUAGAGCUCAUCUCUGCGCUCAAGGUACAUCCUGGUUUGUAUCAGGAACAGCGUGGUGA